UACCUUUGCGAAGCAUUUGGUUUCUGUAUCCUUUGAUACAGAAUUAAAAGGGAAUCCGGUGAAAAUCCAGAACUGUCCCGCAGCUGUAAGCUUCAUUAACCAAAAGCCCAUUCAACAUUACCACUAUUCCGAAACUCGGAACGGGAAGGUAGGGCUCGAGGGAAGUAAGUCAGAAGACCUGCCAUUGCAUUUUGAUAUUC
rnacentral:ncRNA from 2 species